UACGUAGGGGGGCAAGCGUUGUCCGGAAUUACUUGGGCGUAAAGAGCGUGUAGGCGGUCCGGUAAGUCAGCUGUGAAAGUCAAGGGCUCAACCCUUGAAUGCCGGUUGAUACUGUCGGGCUAGAGUCCGGAAGAGGCGAGUGGAAUUCCCGGUGUAGCGGUGAAAUGCGCAGAUAUCGGGAGGAACACCAAUGGCGAAGGCAGCUCGCUGGGACGGUACUGACGCUGAGACGCGAAAGCGUCGGGGAGCAAACAGG
rnacentral:rRNA from 1 species